CCUACGGGUGGCAGCAGUGGGGAAUAUUGGGCAAUGGGCGCAAGCCUGACCCAGCAACGCCGCGUGAAGGAAGAAGGCUCUCCGGUUGUAAACUUCUUUUUACAGGGAAGAGCAGAAGUCGGUACCUCUUGAAUAAGCCACGGCUAACUACGGGCCAGCAGCCGCGGUAAUACGGAGGUGGCAGGCGGUGUCCGGAUUUACUGGGUGUAAAGGGCGUGCAGCCGGGAAGACCAGUCAGAUGGGAAAUCCCGCGGCUCAACCGCGGAACUGCAUUUGAAACUGUUUUGCUUGAGUACCCGAGAGGUCAGCGGAAUUCGUGGUGUAGCGGUGAAAUGCGUAGAUAGAAGGAAGAACACCAGUGGCGAAGGCGGAUGACUGGACGGCGACUGACGGUGAGGCGCGAAAGCGUGGGGAGCAAACAGGAUUAGAUACCCGGGUAGUC
rnacentral:rRNA from 1 species